GAUGAACGCUGGCGGCGUGCCUAAUACAUGCAAGUCGAGCGAACGGACGAGAAGCUUGCUUCUCUGAUGUUAGCGGCGGACGGGUGAGUAACACGUGGAUAACCUACCUAUAAGACUGGGAUAACUUCGGGAAACCGGAGCUAAUACCGGAUAAUAUUUUGAACCGCAUGGUUCAAAAGUGAAAGACGGUCUUGCUGUCACUUAUAGAUGGAUCCGCGCUGCAUUAGCUAGUUGGUAAGGUAACGGCUUACCAAGGCAACGAUGCGUAGCCGACCUGAGAGGGUGAUCGGCCACACUGGAACUGAGACACGGUCCAGACUCCUACGGGAGGCAGCAGUAGGGAAUCUUCCGCAAUGGGCGAAAGCCUGACGGAGCAACGCCGCGUGAGUGAUGAAGGUCUUCGGAUCGUAAAACUCUGUUAUUAGGGAAGGACAAAUGUGUAAGUAACUAUGCACGUCUUGACGGUACCUAAUCAGAAAGCCACGGCUAACUACGUGCCAGCAGCCGCGGUAAUACGUAGGUGGCAAGCGUUAUCCGGAAUUAUUGGGCGUAAAGCGCGCGUAGGCGGUUUUUUAAGUCUGAUGUGAAAGCCCACGGCUCAACCGUGGAGGGUCAUUGGAAACUGGAAAACUUGAGUGCAGAAGAGGAAAGUGGAAUUCCAUGUGUAGCGGUGAAAUGCGCAGAGAUAUGGAGGAACACCAGUGGCGGAGGCGACUUUCUGGUCUGUAACUGACGCUGAUGUGCGAAAGCGUGGGGAUCAAACAGGAUUAGAUACCCUGGUAGUCCACGCCGUAAACGAUGAGUGCUAAGUGUUAGGGGGUUUCCGCCCCUUAGUGCUGCAGCUAACGCAUUAAGCACUCCGCCUGGGGAGUACGACCGCAAGGUUGAAACUCAAAGGAAUUGACGGGGACCCGCACAAGCGGUGGAGCAUGUGGUUUAAUUCGAAGCAACGCGAAGAACCUUACCAAAUCUUGACAUCCUCUGACCCCUCUAGAGAUAGAGUUUUCCCCUUCGGGGGACAGAGUGACAGGUGGUGCAUGGUUGUCGUCAGCUCGUGUCGUGAGAUGUUGGGUUAAGUCCCGCAACGAGCGCAACCCUUAAGCUUAGUUGCCAUCAUUAAGUUGGGCACUCUAAGUUGACUGCCGGUGACAAACCGGAGGAAGGUGGGGAUGACGUCAAAUCAUCAUGCCCCUUAUGAUUUGGGCUACACACGUGCUACAAUGGACAAUACAAAGGGUAGCGAAACCGCGAGGUCAAGCAAAUCCCAUAAAGUUGUUCUCAGUUCGGAUUGUAGUCUGCAACUCGACUAUAUGAAGCUGGAAUCGCUAGUAAUCGUAGAUCAGCAUGCUACGGUGAAUACGUUCCCGGGUC
rnacentral:rRNA from 1 species